rnacentral:lncRNA from 1 species
GAAGGUGAGCUGGACCAAAGUCAAAAGCAGGGGAUAAAGUGGAGCUGGUGCUCAGUGGGGCCUAACAGCUGACAGCUGGGCAGUAACUCAGGUCAACUGACGGGGAGAAGGUAAAGGAUGACAGAGGGCACAGAAGCCACCAGCAGAUUCUUUGGAAGGAAGUAACAGGAGUGGAACUUCAUUUUCCCAUGGAUUGUAAAGG